GGCCACGCUGUUCUUACAGUGGUAGGUGAGGUUUUGAGAAGCCUCGGUGGACAGCAGUCUCAGGAAAGUCAUCUGAAUGGAAGCCGUGUUGGGUGCCAGGCUGUCAUCACCAUAGCUGAACUGCAUUGGGCCGCAGGGUCACGAGGGCUAGAGCUGAUCCCUAACACACAUUGGGCUAGAGGCCGAUAAUCAAAAUGAACAUCAAAGAUUCCCUGAUUUCUUUGUAUGAAAAAGACUUUCCAAUAAAAUGUGCUCUGUGAUUACAUUACAUUACUAAUAGUAGAGGAGGGUAUGUUUCAUCUCAACUGAU